GACGAACGCUGGCGGCGUGCUUAACACAUGCAAGUCGAACGGAAAGGCCCUGCUUUUGUGGGGUGCUCGAGUGGCGAACGGGUGAGUAACACGUGAGUAACCUGCCCUUGACUUUGGGAUAACUUCAGGAAACUGGGGCUAAUACCGGAUAGGAGCUCCUGCUGCAUGGUGGGGGUUGGAAAGUUUCGGCGGUUGGGGAUGGACUCGCGGCUUAUCAGCUUGUUGGUGGGGUAGUGGCUUACCAAGGCUUUGACGGGUAGCCGGCCUGAGAGGGUGACCGGCGACAUUGGGACUGAGAUACGGCCCAGACUCCUACGGGAGGCAGCAGUGGGGAAUAUUGCAGAAUAAGCGGAAGCCAGAUGCAGCAACGCCGCGUGCGGGAUGACGGCCUUCGGGUUGUAAACCGCUUUCGCCUGUGACGAAGCGUGAGUGAGGGUAAUGGAUAAAGAAGCACCGGCUAACUACGUG
rnacentral:rRNA from 1 species